GGGGCCAACCAUCGAAGCAAGAAAGAGUGACACCAUUAUGGGCAGAGUUUACAAUCGUGCAGGGUAUAACAUUACAAUCUAUUGAUACAUCUCAAAAUCUUCAAGCACUUGUAAUAUUUGAAACUACAUACUAAAUGAACUAUGUACCAUUUUAUCCAAAAAAAAUACACUACAUAUCGAGUUCCUAUAUAUGAUGGACCGUCGUCGAUCGGCACCAUA
rnacentral:lncRNA from 1 species